rnacentral:rRNA from 1 species
UCGCGAAAACUUUGCAAUACACGAAAGUGUGACAGGGUCAUCCCGAGUGCCGACCGCUGAGGUUGGCUUUUACCCAGUCUAGAAAGCUGGGGGAAUAAGGAGAGGGCAAGUCUGGUGUCAGCCGCCGCGGUAAUACCAGCUCUCCGAGUGGUGUGGACGUUUAUUGGGCCUAAAGCAUCCGUAGCUGGCUGGGCAAGUCCUCUGUUAAACCCACCGAUUUAAUCGUUGGCGUGCGGGGGAUACUGCUCGGCUAGGGGACGAGAGAGGCAGACGGUAUUCCCGGGGUAGGGGUGAAAUCCUAUAAUCCCGAGAAGACCACCAGUGGCGAAGGCUGUCUGCUAGAACGCGCCCGACGGUGAGGGAUGAAAGCUGGGGGAGCGAACCGG